rnacentral:sRNA from 1 species
CCCGGCCUCCUGUGGGUUCGGCGACCGUCGCGCGGCGGCUAUGGGGGCGCGGCUGGGCCGGCAGGCCGGGCCCGACGCUGGCUCCGAGGCCGGGGCGGCGGCCGGCUGCAGGCCUGCGCCCUACGAGCGCCGGGUGCGGUGGCUCCGCGAGAUCCAGUCCACGCUCGGCGAGCGGCGGCCGGAGCGCGCCCGGCAGCUGCUGCGCCUCCUGCGCCAGGACCUGGGCCUUGAGAGGACCCUCCUUCCUGAUAUCCUCUACAGAGAUGUGGCCUUCCUCAACCUGGUCGACCCCAUCUCCCAUGACCUGCUUGUGAACCUGGCCCGGGACCUGCAGUGCCCCAAGAAGGUCUCCAUCCUGUACAGACACCCUUGGGGACGGGUGCUCACUGCUUUCCCCCACAACAGCUGGGGUCAUAAGCAAGGCCCUCCUCAUUGCUGGGGUGGAGUUUGCCACCUGCAGCCUCCACCCUACAGCUGCCCAGAACCCCACUCUGAUGGCACCUGCAGAUGUCCUGCCAUGAGCAUCGACACAGCCCCAGGAUGUGUGGCUGUGACCAGCCACUGGACCCAGACUCCUAGUCACAGUGAGUCCCCAACCAAAACAAGGGUAUCCGCUCUGGGCCCUGCCAGCUCUGAAUGCCCAGGUCUGUGCACAGUCGGCCCCUAGGACUCUGCGCCUAGCCCACAGCCAUCACAGGAACGGCCAUGGCUUGCAGCUGCUGUGUGUGCUGCCUGCUCCUGGGGCUGUUCACAGAGGGACUGGAUAAAGGAUGCAGUGGAGCAUGCUCAGUGCCAGCUUUGUGGGCCGCACACCUCAGAUUCCGCCCUGAACUGGGCCUCUGCAGGAGCCCAGUUAGGACUAAGAGAGAGCCAGGUGAUGGUGCUGUAAAACAUUACAUCCCCCAGCCCUGUCAGCCCAGACCCAGACCCCGCAGGCGCAGUCUCGCUUGGAGAGUGAGAGGAAGAAGAACAUGCUGACCUGGCUUGUUCCUACUCCCUGGAAUUGGCGUCAGUGGACCACGGCUCCCUCGAGGGGCCUGGUCUGGCCUCCUCCCCCUGUGGCAAGUCCCCGAAGGGUGCUGAGGGUGGGCAGGCAGCCGGCUGAUAGCCCGAGACGCUGGCCCUGGGCCUGAGGACAGGGAACAAGGGCCCAUUGUCUGGGCUUCCUCCCGCCGGGCACUGCGGACUGGACCAGCCUGUCCAGCUCCCAGAGGGCAGCCUCCCCUGGCUCUGUGCCAGGCCACAGCUGGGUUGGGGGGUGGGAGGGGGAGGCCCUGGUGGGCAACUCGGUGAUGCAUGGUGCACGGCCGUACUCAUACACACACUUGGCUGCCCGGGCCCCUCUCCCCAAGGCCCUGAGGUGGGCAGGAGGGGCUCAGAUUCACCAUGGUGACACUGCCCUCCCACAGGACUACGAGCUCUGGAAGUCCUCGGACAAGAUCUGCCGACAACUCAUCUACCACCUCACCCCUCACUCGAAGCAGCAGCAAGGGUCCAGCCUGCGCCAGAGGAAGACCCAGAGCUGCCUCAAGAGCAGCCUCCAGAAGACUCUGCUGGCAGGGGAGACUGUGGACCUCUCAGGCAUCCCGCUGUCGACACAGGACGUGCAACACAUCACACGCUACCUGAGCACCCAUGGUGCUGUACUGGCAGUGCUGGACCUGAGCUUCACCGGGCUGAGUGAUGAGCUGCUGCACCUGCUGCUGCCCAGCCUGUGGGCGCUGCCCCGCCUCACCCAGCUCCUGCUCAACGGCAACCGACUGACACGGGCCACUGCCCACAAGCUCACUGAUGCCAUCAAGGACACCACCAAGUUCCCUGCAUUGGCCUGGGUGGACCUGGGCAACAAUGUGGAUGUGGCUUCCCUGCCCCAGCCCCUGCUGGUCGGCCUGCGCCGGCGGCUGAGCCAGCGCACCUCACUCCCCACCAUCUACGAGGGCCUGGACCUUGAGCCUGAGGGCGGUGCGGCUGGGGCCACCACCCCUGCCUCCACCUGGCACUCCACAGCUGCUGGGCUGGGACCCGAGCCCCAGGCCUGCUGCGCCAGGUGACCCACCACCCACCUGGCUCAUUGCUACUGACUUGUGAUGCUCUCAAGCACAUGAUAGUGGGCGAUGAAGGUUGAGGAGGACUCACAGGCCCCCAGAGAUCCAGUGCAAAUGCUCAGCCUGAGAUUAAGGGGACAGAAGGAGAAUGGACUCAUAGGUGGCCAGGUGGCCAGCCCCAGCUAGAGGCUCAGCCUUCUCUCAGUGGGAGGGGCCCCAGCACCCACAGGGUG